GAAGGUCAAGAUGGUCCCUAGUGUCGAAUUAAGCAGUACUAGUACUUAAAGUAUAAUACUGCACUGUCACUAUAUUUAAAUCUAGUCAUAAAAAAAAAAGUACCAAAGUCAGCACAAUACAAGACAAGAGCAGACAGACAGACCCGGUAUUAAUGAUUAUGAGAAAUACGAAUGUUACUUUAUCCUACAUAUCGGUCUUUUAAUAUUGC
rnacentral:lncRNA from 1 species